rnacentral:rRNA from 1 species
AGACCACGGCGAACGGGUGAGUAAUACCUAGGAACUUUUUUCAAGUUGAGGAUAUCCUUCCGAAAGGAAGUGCAAUACUCGAUGUGACCGCAAGGUUAAAGUCGCAAGACGCUUGAAGCAAGGCCUGGGCACCAUCAGCUAGUUGGUAAGGUAAAAGCUUACCAAGGCUAUGACGGUUAGCGGAUCUGAGAGGAUGACCCGCCACACUGGGACUGCGACACGGCCCAG